AUUGAACGCUGGCGGCAGGCUUAACACAUGCAAGUCGAGCGGGGGGAGGUAGCUUGCUACCGGACCUAGCGGCGGACGGGUGAGUAAUGCUUAGGAAUCUGCCUAUUAGUGGGGGACAACAUCUCGAAAGGGAUGCUAAUACCGCAUACGUCCUACGGGAGAAAGCAGGGGAUCUUCGGACCUUGCGCUAAUAGAUGAGCCUAAGUCGGAUUAGCUAGUUGGUGGGGUAAAGGCCUACCAAGGCGACGAUCUGUAGCGGGUCUGAGAGGAUGAUCCGCCACACUGGGACUGAGACACGGCCCAGACUCCUACGGGAGGCAGCAGUGGGGAAUAUUGGACAAUGGGGGGAACCCUGAUCCAGCCAUGCCGCGUGUGUGAAGAAGGCCUUAUGGUUGUAAAGCACUUUAAGCGAGGAGGAGGCUACUUUAGUUAAUACCUAGAGAUAGUGGACGUUACUCGCAGAAUAAGCACCGGCUGACUCUGUGCCAGCAGCCGCGGUAA
rnacentral:rRNA from 1 species